AUGAAGCUCGCUUCCCCGCUCACUCACGACGAGGAGCGGGUCGACGCAUGGUAUGGAGGCGAACAGCUGCGGUAUCGCACGAUGGAUGAUCUACUCGGCGACCAGCCGGUGCCGGGACUGAUGCCACGUGACCUGGAGGCGCAGCUACAGCUCGUGUGUGAAGACGGCGAACCACGGUCCUUUGCAGAGGCCGAGAGAGACGCGGCAUGGCGCGCCGCGAUGCAGUUGGAGAUGGAUGCGGUCGAGCAAAACCGCACCUGGGAGCUCGCUGAUCUCCCUCGAGGUCACCACGCAAUCACCCUUAAGUGGGUGUUCAAGCUGAAGAGGGAUGGAGCCGGCGCCAUCAUCAAGCACAAGGCUCGCUUGGUGGCCCGAGGCUUCUUGCAGCAGGAAGGAGUCGACUUCGACGACGCCUUCGCUCCCGUGGCACGGAUGGAGUCCGUGCGACUUCUCCUUGCGCUGGCUGCCCAGGAGGGCUGGCGUGUCCACCACAUGGACGUUAAGUCGGCAUUCCUCAACGGCGACUUGAAGGAGGAAGUCUACGUGCAUCAGCCACCUGGGUUUACGAUUCCCGGCCAGGAGGGCAAGGUGCUCCGCCUGCGCAAGGCUCUCUAUGGCCUGCGGCAGGCACCCAGGGCGUGGAACGCCAAGCUGGACUCCACGCUGAAGAAGAUGGGUUUCGAGCAGAGCCCGCAUGAGGCUGCCGUCUACCGACGGGGGAGUGGAGGAAAUGCCUUGCUGGUGGGCGUCUACGUUGACGACCUGGUGAUCACCGGCACCAAAGGUGCAGAGGUGGCGGCGUUCAAGGAAGACAUGAAGGCCACGUUCCAGAUGAGUGACCUGGGGCUCCUCUCCUUCUAUCUAGGGAUUGAGGUGCACCAGGACCACUCCGGGAUCGCGCUUCGACAGUCCGCCUACGCCAAGCGCAUCGUUGAGCUAGCUGGGCUCACCGACUGCCAUCCAGCUCUCACUCCGAUGGAGGAGAGGCUGAAACUGAGCCGCGACAGCACGACGGAGGAAGUGGAUGCUACGCAGUACCGACGCCUUGUGGGGAGCCUUCGCUACCUCACUCACACACGGCCGGACUUGGCAUUCUCCGUCGGCUAUGUCAGUCGGUUCAUGGAGCGACCAACGUCGGAACACCAGCAGGCAGUGAAGAGGAUCGUCCGCUACAUAGCAGGGACCCUCGACCACGGCCUCCACUACCCUAGGUGUCCUGGGGCGGCACACUUCGUCGGGUACAGCGACAGCGACCACGCCGGCGAAAUCGACACCAGCAAGAGCACGAGCGGGAUCCUCCUCUUCCUCGGCAAGUGUCUCGUGAGCUGGCAAUCAGUCAAGCAGCAGGUGGUGGCCCUGUCCAGCUGUGAGGCUGAGUACAUAGCGGCCUCCACUGCCUGUACUCAGGCGCUCUGGCUUGCUCGACUGCUUGGUGAUCUUCUCGUUCAAGACACCAGAACGGUGCAGCUCCUGGUGGACAGCAAGUCCGCCCUGGCCCUGGCAAAGAACCCCGUGUUCCACGAACGGAGCAAGCACAUCCGACUGAGGUAUCACUUCAUCCGCAGCUGUGUGGAAGAAGGGAGCAUCGAGGCGAGCUACAUCAACACCAAGGAUCAGCUCGCAGACCUGCCCACCAAGCCCCUUGGGAGGGUCAAGUUCCUCGAACUUUGCUCCAGGAUUGGGAUGAUUCAACUCUCCCACAAGACGACGUACAAGACUUAG
rnacentral:rRNA from 1 species